UACAGAGGUCUCAAGCGUUGUUCGGAUUCAUUGGGCGUAAAGGGUGCGUAGGCGGCGCGGUAAGUCGGGUGUGAAAUCUCGGAGCUUAACUCCGAAACUGCAUUCGAUACUGCCGUGCUUGAGGACUGGAGAGGAGACUGGAAUUUACGGUGUAGCGGUGAAAUGCGUAGAUAUCUGGAGGAACACCGGUGGCGAAGGCGGCAUCCUGGACCGGCAUUGACGCUGAGGCGCGAAAGCUAGGGGAGCAAACGGG
rnacentral:rRNA from 1 species